ensembl:snoRNA
AUGCACAUUUCAUUGUCUUUUUUCUUCAUAUCGAGGAAAAGGAUAUUUCUGACGUGCCAGAUGAAUCAUUGGAGGUAAAUUAGCAGGGUGGCUACUCUAGCCAUUGCUGUCAGUCACCUCCACACAUUG